rnacentral:lncRNA from 1 species
UUUUCUACCAACACUAUUUUAAUGUUACCAUCAUCACCAGACACUACAAUAUUUCACACGUUAGACAAGCAGCACAUUGGAAUGACGUUAAGCAGGAGUUAUAGCGUUAAAAUCACAUGAAACAAAAAAUGAAGAUAAAAAUACACAAUUGGAAUGUACAAGUGUAUUAAAUGCAGUUUACCCUCCUCUAAAAUAAAGUUAGUGUUAUUUAGGACAGUUAGUUUUAAGCUGCUCGGUAAUUUAAAGCUGCAAAAAAUGUAUUAAAACCGACACAAAGUUAGACAUACUCUGCAAAGAAGAAUUGCAAGCCAAGUGUAACUAGGAACAUAAUGUAAACAACUAAAUAAAUACAUUUUAUGGAUGUUGUAAUCAACUAUAUAUGUUUAAUAUAUUGCUAAAGAUUAAUUAAGUGUAUUGUAUUGUUAGGAAUUUAAAGUGUAUUUUACAUUUGAUGCCAAAAUACCUUAAAAUGCACAUUUCAAUUUUGUCUGCUAUAGCUUAACUUUUGAAGAACACAGCACAAAUGAUUUAAAAGCUCUUAACAGGAAUUAAAUGGGACAGAGAAGAGGUAAUGAGAGGUUUAUUAAAAGUAUCAAAUUACAAAAGGAUAACCUUCUCUGCAGCCUCAAAAAUCAUUGAAAAUAAAUGGCUUAUGCUCUUAAGUGGGUUACAUUAGCAGAUGUAUUUAUUUCGAAAAGGAUUAUUGAUCAAUGAAAAGGCCAACUGUCUGGAGGAGCUGCCAAUACAAUAGAGGAGUUUAACAGUGUCAAGCACUAACAAUGGACAGAUUUAUAAACAAGAUCAAGUACGGUCUUAUAUUUUUGGAUUAGAAAGGGGACAGGUUGGAUGGAUUAAAAAAGUUUAUGACUUACUUGUAUACUAAAUACGUGUUUCUGUUUUAACACUAACACUUAGUGUUUUAAGAAAAAGCAAACUUUCAAUGUUACUAUUAUUUUUAGAAAAAAAUAUUCUAACUCGGCUAUUUCUGCAUCAAAGCUUAAAUUAUCUUGUUAGUCUUAUAAACAGAACUGUCAGGUGUAGUAUUUCUUUUCAGCUCAUAGAAAAGUAGGUUAGCUAUGUGUUGUGCUUUUUUUUUUUUUUUUAAUUCACAAUAGUUCCUAAUUGAUUGUUACUAAUAUAUAUAUAUUAGUAAACUAAACACUGAAGCCACUCUGAAACAAGAUAUUCAUUUUAGAGCACAGAGAAAUACUCAGUUUGGUAGCAAAGUACAUAUUUUAAAAGUAGCACUCUGCCCCAGAAUUGUUCUCCACACAUAAUAAACAACACAACAGAAUAUAAGUGCAGCACAUUAAAACACAAAGACACCUUAAAUAUUUAAAAUAACAAUAUUGAGAAAAGAAAAAAUACUUUUGUAGUUUUGUCUUUUCUUCUAGAACGGAUUCAAGGAUCAGACAGCACAUCAUCAUAUAAAGAGUUUCAGCAUAAAAGAAAAUGACUAUAGUGUGAUACAGUAGAAAAACAAAACACACUCAAUUUCUUUAAAAGCCAAAUGCUCACUUAAAUAGUUGAAAUACAGUGUAUACGUCUGGAGAUAUUUGAAUUCACAAAUACCCCCAGUUUCCUACUUAAAUAAUUUAGCAUACAAGGAUAACAGAAGGUUGGACAAGGCUAGAGCCGAGUUCACUGCUUUAAAAUGCUGACCAUAUUGCUUUAUUGUACAAACCCCCCAAACAAGACAUGUACACUACAAAAUAAUUGUAAAAUACACUGUCACACUAGUUUGUAAGUCUGACAUGCCUUCACAGCAUCCUGACGUUUGUAACUGCAUAGAGGGCAACCAGAAAUACCACAGAUCUUUAGAGAACUUUACAUGGUAAAAUGUGAUUUUAGUGUAUAUUUCUACAUGUUACAUUUUAUGCUAUUUUGGAAGCACAAAGAAGGGCUGUAUAAAUACCUGGCUUGGUAUUAACUUAUAGAUUUCCAAGAACGGGGCACGUGCAUCAAAAUGAUCUUAUAAAGGGGGAUUAACAGUAGCUGUUUUGAGAAAUAAAAUAAAUGUUAUUAAUCCUAUUAUUUUCAUCCAUGACUACACCACUAAAACAAGCAAUUUAUCUAAUCACGUUUCACGAACCAGUCGGAUUUGACCGAUUUGCUUGAAGCUUUCUAUGCAGAGAUUGAAAAUGUUAUCGUUAUUUUAUCAGAAUAUUAUUAUUUUUUGCCAUCUGAUAGUAAAGUGUCUUGUACAAGUCAUUUUACACAAUUCCAGUAAUACCACCAUACUAAUUACUUUUAAUACAGUCUGCUUUAAGGUCAAGAUAUUUUGUUCCCCUGACCAUAAUUUGGUAUCACUUCUA